rnacentral:rRNA from 1 species
UGGGGAAUAUUGGGCAAUGGGGAAACCCUGACCCAGCAACGCCGCGUGAAGGAAGAAGGCUUUCGGGUUGUAAACUUCUUUUACCAGGGACGAAGGACGUGACGGUACCUGGAGAAAAAGCUCCGGCUAACUACGUGCCAGCAGCCGCGGUAAUACGUAGGGAGCGAGCGUUGUCCGGAUUUACUGGGUGUAAAGGGCGUGUAGGCGGAGGAGCAAGUCAGAAGUGAAAUCUCCGGGCUUAACCCGGAAACUGCUUUUGAAACUGUUCCCCUUGAGUACUGGAGAGGCAGGCGGAAUUCCUAGUGUAGCGGUGAAAUGCGUAGAUAUUAGGAGGAACACCAGUGGCGAAGGCGGCCUGCUGGACAGCAACUGACGCUGAGGCGCGAAAGCGUGGGGAGCAAACAGGAUUAGAUACC